rnacentral:rRNA from 1 species
UACGGAGGAUCCGAGCGUUGUCCGGAUUUAUUGGGUUUAAAGGGUGCGUAGGCGGACUAAUAAGUCAGGGGUGAAAGCCGGUAGCUUAACUAUCGAAUAGCCUUUGAAACUGCUAGUCUUGAAUACUGUUGAGGUAGGCGGAAUGUAUCAUGUAGCGGUGAAAUGCAUAGAUAUGAUACAGAACACCGAUUGCGAAGGCAGCUUACUAAGCAGUGAUUGACGCUGAGGCACGAAAGCGUGGGGAUCAAACAGGAUUAGAUACCCUGGUAGUCCACGCUGUAAACGUUGAAUACUUGCUGUUGGCGAUAUACAGUCAGCGGCUCAGCGAAAGCGUUAAGUAUUCCACCUGGGGAGUACGGUCGCAAGAUUGAA